AGUCUAGCAUGUACGCGAGUCAUUGGGACUCGAUAAACCUAAAGGCGUAAUGAAAGUGAAAGUCUGUUGACGCGGACUUAGGGAGGAUAGGUGCGUACAUCUGUACAACCUCGCACUCCCGGGGCGUCUCGCACUCAUUGCGAGGUGGGGCGCACCAAGAGCGUACACGCUGGGACCCGAAAGAUGGUGAACUAUGCCUGGUCAGGACGAAGUCAGGGGAAACCCUGAUGGAGGUCCGUAGCGAUUCUGACGUGCAAAUCGAUCGUCGGAACUGGGCUUAGGGGCGAAAGACUAAUCGAACCAUCUAGUAGCUGGUUCCCACCGAAGUUUCCCUCAGGAUAGCUGGCACUAGAUUAUGGAUGAGUCUCAUCCGGUAAAGCGAAUGAUUAGAGGCAUUGGGGUCGAAACGGCCUCAACCUAUUCUCAAACUUUAAAUGGGUGAGAUCUCCGGCUUGCUCGAUUGAUGAAGCCGGAGAUCGGAUCAAUUAGUGCCAAGUGGGCCACUUUUGGUAAGCAGAACUGGCGCUGUGGGAUGAACCAAACGCAGAGUUAAAGCGCCAAAAUCGACGCUUAUGGGAUACCAUGAAAGGCGUUGGUAACUUAAGACAGCAGGACGGUGGCCAUGGAAGUCGGAA
rnacentral:rRNA from 1 species